UCAGUUCGGAUUGCAGGCUGCAACUCGCCUGCAUGAAGCUGGAAUUGCUAGUAAUCGCGGAUCAGCAAGCCGCGGUGAAUACGUUCCCGGGCCUUGUACACACCGCCCGUCACACCAUGAGAGUCGGGAACACCCGAAGUCCGUAGUCUAACCGCGAAGGGGGGGCGCGGCCGAAGGUGGGUCCGGUAAUUGGGGUGAAGUCGUAACAAGGUAGC
rnacentral:rRNA from 1 species